ensembl:lincRNA
UUGUAGUCCAAGUCAACAGGGCCCCAAAGGUCUGGGCUGGAGUAUUGCUAACUCUCCGGCUCAUGGAUCGAGCCAGACAAAGCGCCUGAGGUCAAAAUGUGGUAUCCCCAAGCUGUGUGCAGAUGUUCCUGUGUGAGCUGGAAGAGGAGGACUGGUCCCUCUUUGUCUGAGAUCAUGUGGAGUCCCUGCUGUGAACCAGGUCUCUCCUGUUCACCCUGGAGGGCUCAGCUAAAUGCCAUGAUAGCUAAUUAUCACCCAGAAGCCCCCAUCCCUACCUGGGCAGGGUCCCCUGCAAGAGGCUUUUGUAGCGCAGUGAUCAGCACUUCUGCAGAAUGGGACCCAUCCACGUUGCGGCAUCACCAUCUGCAUCCUACUCUGUCCCUGCAGCAGACUGAAAGUGUUCUCAGGGCAGGAACUUUCUCAGGUACCUGAGGCCUCUUGCUGGGGUUUCCUCCAACACACUCCCACUUUGGCUAGAAUUCCAUGCUCCCUGCUCUCUCCUCAGCUCAAGGUGAGUUUCAUCUGGGCUCUUGAGAGCAGCUGGGGAAAUACUCUCUGUAUUUAGGUCUCAUGUGGUUGUGACUGGACACAGGGUGAUGUCCUGGGGAGGAGACAGUCUCUGCAGCCUGGACCAGCUGUUCAGCGUUGACACGGCUGAAGGGUUCUGUCAUUCCAGUUGACCAUGGCCAGCUAAAAUGUGUGAGCUUGCUGGGAGCUAAUAGUUCCAAAUCUGUGUACUGUAUAGGGCUAUGGGAACAGAUGAUGGUGGGUCUUUUCCAAUGCAUUUGAUUUGUCCAUUGUCACAUGAACCAGAGAGGGGGAGGAAGGUCUGUAAUACACUGAGCUGUUUCUCCAAAACUUACACCUGGAACCUCCUUCUGAGAAUAUAUAAUCUCUUACCUUGCCUUGUCCUAUAGGAAUUAAAAAAGAAAAGCAUUUUGUCACUUUCUCGUGUUACCAAAAUUGAAUUUAAGAAUUUUUAGACAUGUUUUUCCCCAUCUAAUUAUUGAUGCAUGCUGUUCUAUUUACUCUAAAUUAAUUAUGUAAGAAAAGCAUGAUUCAUCCACAAAGACACUCAGUAAUUGCAUAGUUGAUCACACUUGGUUGAGAAACACAAUUUUAAAAUGUAAAUGGAAAUUUAAUUAUGUGUUAGCAUUGAAAAUAGGCAAGACCUGCUUUUGUGACCUCACAUUUGGAAUUCCUGCAUUUUGACUGAAAAAAAUUCAACUGAUUAAUUUUGAGUUUUAUCUCUAAAUAUUGACAUAAAAGAGGAGAACAGGUCACUUGCCGUUACUUAUUUAAACUAUCCCAUUGGUGGAGUGGAUAGUUUCAUUCCCAGUAAAGGAAGAAGCAUGCAUUUAAUUCUCAUUAUAGCUUUUUUACUUUAACAAUGGGUUCUGGAAUGCCAGAGACAGCCUGAAGGGCCACUAAGGCUUUUGACUAAAUAAAUGAAAUUUAGAGAUUAGGCUCAGAAAAUAUAGGAGUGAUUUGGCAGAAUUAUCAUUUCUUGAAAAAAUUUUUGAUGUGGACCGUUUUUAAAGUCUUUAUUAAAUUUGCUGCAAUAUUGCUUCUCUUCUAUGCGGUGGUUUUUGGCUGCAAGGCGUGUGGGAUCUUAGCUUCCUGACCAGGUGCUGAACCCACACCCCCUUCACUGGAAGGUGAAGUCUUAACCACUGGACCCCCAGGGAAGCCCCAGAAUUAUCACUUUUAAGCUUCUUGUGUGGGAGGCAGCUUCUAAGAUGAUUCCUUCUUCUAGAGAGUGGGCUGAACCUGGUGAAACUGAUGGGAUAACAAAGAAACUGACGGGAUAUUACUUCCAAGGACAGGUUGUAAGGGACUGUGACUUCUCUUUUGCUCUCCUUCUCUCUUCUCACUUGCUCAUGCUGAUGAACCUAGCUGCCAUGUUAUAAGGAAGCCUCCACAUACACCCUCCAGGGUGACUUCCAGCCAACAGCUGGUGACGAACUGAAGCUCUCAGUCCAACGCCCCACGAGGAGUGGAAUCCUGCUGAAAACCACGGAGUGAGCUUGGAAAUGGAUCUCGUCCCAGUCAAGCCUUUAGAUGACUGCAGCCCCCCUCAACACCUUGAUUGUAGCUUGUGAGACCUUGUGAGCCAGAGGACUCAGCUAAACUGUGCCCAGAUUCCAGAGUCACAGACAUAAUGUGACAUAGCUCAUGCUUUUAUUUUAAUCCACUAAAGUUAGAGUAACGUGUUAUGCUGCAAUAGGUAAGUAACACAUUAUUGACCAGAAAUGUAUUAAUAUGUCUUUAGUUACCUGAAUGCUAUUGACUAGAGUGCCUCAAUAUAUAUACUUGUGUGUUCACUUACGUAACAAAUUAUAGGCCACAGGUGUCAGUUUCUGCAAAAAUCUCCUGGUCAAUAAAGAGUUAGAAUGCUUCAUUUCUUGGUUGCUGAUUUCCACAUCACUGUUUCUUAUGCUUAGGUCUUUAACCAGAGGCGACGCAUUAAGGGAAAUCUGGUACACA